ensembl:lncRNA
CUCUACCUUACCACCACCAGCAGCAGCAGCAGCCACACAACUGAUAAAGAUGAUAGCCACACAACUUUCCUUGCUAUCAGUGGUAAAGAAAUUACUGUUUCCAGAAUGCAUGCAGCUUCAGAGGUUCCAUGUUAAGAAGACUCAACAUGGAUAAACACAAAGGACAAGAGAAAAAAGCCUGCAUGAUCCCCUACUUUUGGAGGAAGAAGAAAACGAAAAAUCAGGUAUAUCCAAAGAUUGUUGUCCUGAUUCUAAAUUCUGUGGAUUAUACAGAAGCUAGCAGGAAAUGGAUAUUAAGAUGGCUUUUUAUCUAAGAUGCUUGAGUAAAGACGUUUUCAGGAUUCCCUACCUCCCUCAUUAACUCAUCAUAACAACCAUCACCAUUAAAAGAUUUAUCAUAUUGUAAAGUUCCUCACUCUGCACUGAAGUCCAUGUUCCUUUGUUUUGCAUGGGGAAUAGUUUGUUACAUAUCAGAUAACUUGUGCAUUAUAAGUACUUCAUAAAGCUAAGGUUAUUUGAGGAUUGCCCAGAUUUGAGAAGAGAAAGAAAACUUUUGCCAUUUCCCCUGGGACACUGGAAAGUCACUGGCUUCCUCCUUUCACAUUAUAAGCUCCUGUGCAAUCCUAUUUUGCAGAGACAGCAGGAAAAACAAAAAUAUGGGAGUUGGGACAUAUUUUACAGCCCCUGUUAAAGGAGUGGUCCCUUCAUUUCUCCUGAAGAAAGAGCUCCUGCCACUGAGAACCUUCUACAACCCUCUUUGCUGUUUUCAGAAUUGUCUUUGAAUUUUCAUUCCCUGUCAGCCAGAGCAGUUGGCAGUGACAGCUGAGCUAUUCUCCAUUAUGAUCAGGUAGAAGCCUAGCUCAGCCAGCACUCUUGGGAGACAAAGGUAGGGGAAGUUCUCUUACUUCUAUGCUCUGGGAGAUCAGUAGGCCUACCUUGAAGGUGAAAACAAAAUGAAAAAUAAGCUGGGAGAAAAUCAAGAAUAGUCACACAACCCCAUAAUUUUUACCUGAGCUCUUCAUUAGGCAUUCUGAAAAAUCUACUUUGGAAGCAAAAACAGCUGUUGAAAAGAUGACAGAGGCUGGCGCAACUGAUUUGUUUCACUAAAAGCCUAACACGCAGAAUUUUCCAUAGGAAUCAGGCUGAGUCAGGAUCCCUAAACAGACCUACUGUGAAAUAUUUCACUGUCUUCGAAUGGUCUUCUCCAUCUGAAAUGAAGGUUUCAAUAAGUAAAUAACCUGCAACUGCCUAGCAAGUCAAUGCAGGUAAUUAGGACAUUUGGGGUUACGAAGCUCAUAUCUCCCCACUUGGUUCAUAGUUUAGAAUACAGGCGGAACCCUGUAUUGAUUUUGUGCCAUCUCAUCCACAGAGCUGGAAGGGCUCUCAGGGUACAUUAAACUCAAUGCAGACAACAUGGGUACAACCUUUGCUGUAACCUGGAGCCUUUUAAGGUCUGAGCUCCAUUUAAAGUUGGCAGAUACCCAGUUUUAAGAGAUUGCUCUGAGAAGCAAUCCAUUGUAGUGCAGGCCAGUUUCAAAGAGUUCAUGUUCGAAGGGAAGAGUUCAGCUCUGAAUGUAGAUGUGCUGAGGAACUGCCUCCCAGAAAGCCAGAGUGCUAGGUGGAGCAUUCACUUUGCCAAGAUCCUACCACUGGCAACACACAUCUCCCAGAUGACUGAACCAGUCUGACUAACUCAUGCUCUGGCUUUGCAAGGUAU